rnacentral:rRNA from 2 species
UGGGGAAUUUUGCACAAUGGGGGAAACCCUGAUGCAGCGACGCCGCGUGAUUUAGAAGGCCUUCGGGUUGUAAAAAUCUUUUCUAUGGGAAGAAAAUGACAGUACCAUAGGAAUAAGGACCGGCUAAUUACGUGCCAGCAGCCGCGGUAAUACGUAAGGUCCGAGCGUUGUCCGGAAUCAUUGGGCGUAAAGGGUACGUAGGCGGGUAAGCAAGUUAGAAGUGAAAUCCUAUAGCUCAACUAUAGUAAGCUUUUAAAACUGCUCAUCUUGAGAUAUGGAAGGGAAAGUGGAAUUCCUAGUGUAGCGGUGAAAUGCGCAGAUAUUAGGAGGAAUACCGGUGGCGAAGGCGACUUUCUGGCCAUAAUCUGACGCUGAGGUACGAAAGCGUGGGUAGCAAACAGG